AAACUUUCAACAACGGAUCUCUUGGUUCUGGCAUCGAUGAAGAACGCAGCGAAAUGCGAUAAGUAAUGUGAAUUGCAGAAUUCAGUGAAUCAUCGAAUCUUUGAACGCACAUUGCGCCCUCUGGUAUUCCGGGGGGCAUGCCUGUUCGAGCGUCAUUUCACC
rnacentral:rRNA from 1 species